rnacentral:lncRNA from 1 species
GAAAAGAAAGAACAAGAACCCUAGGGUGAAAAUUCAAGAGAAAAUUGGUGGAUUUCAAGUAAUCAAGCAAUCAAAGGUAAAAUUUCUUGAUUUUGACUUGUGAUCUACCUUUCCCAUACAUUCUUUUGCAUUUUCCAUGGUUAAAUCACAUGAUUUCAUGAUGGGUAUCUUGCUGGCUAAACACUUAGAGAGAGGUUUUGAUGCUUGAUUUGGUUAGAUUUCAAGUAUUUUAGUGUUUUUAGUUUAUUGGUGAUGUGUAGCAUGAAAAUCAAUCAAGAAAAAUUCAUGUUCUUCCAUCACCCAUCAUUGGCCGAAUUCUCCAUGUAGAAUAUUGAUGAUGAUUUUGAUUUUAUUUCAAGUGAUUUGGUUAGGAAUUAGUGAUUUAUGGUGUGAGAAUCAAGCUUGAAAAAUUAUAGUGUUGAUGCACCCACCAUGGCCGAAUUUUCCAAGAGAAAAUGUGAGGAUGAUUUUGUCAUAUUUCAAGUUAUUUAAUUUGUGUUUGAUGAUUUCGAGUAUUGGGAGAAAAAUGAAAUUAUUUGGAGUUGAAUUAGACGUAUUGGCCAAUUAAUCGAGUGAUAGAUCGAAUUAAGCCAAUACCGUUUUAUUUAGGUACAUAAUUGAAUUUAUAUUGAACAUCGUAUUUAGAUAGUUACCCAAGCAUUUCACAUCCCAUUUCAUGCAUUAGUAUAGAGCCUGAAUUGGUUUUAUAACAAUUUAGCACAAAUGUAGUAAAUGGCUUAUUGUGCAUUAUGUCUAGGUGGUGAGCAUUCUAGCAAAAGUAAAGAGAUAGUACCCGAGGAUCAAGAAUCAAAGUGCUCGAAAUUUGACUCCCGAAAUAGUGAGUAACCUUACUAUCGUCUUAAUUAUCUAAAGUGGUUUUUAUCCGAUUUUGUGACUUUAUGAAAAAUGAGUUAAAUGGUAAAUCUUUGUGUUUUGUAAUUAAAAUGUGAUUUAAUGAAAUUAUUUUAUAACAUUGUCUUGAAAUGAAAUGAUAGUUUGAAAAUAGAGUAAUUAGAGACUGUUUUCAUGUGUUGUAAAUUCAUGGUUUGAAUCGAAUGGCUUAUGACAAUAUUUGCAUGAAUGGCUGAAUUGGUAUUUGUGUUGAAAUAUAUGAAUUGUGUAUUUAGCCUUGAGAGACUGGAUUGUGAUAUAAUUGUCAUGUCAUGCGGUUGAGAUUUUAUUGAAUUGGUGGGUUUAGCUUGCUGCAGUGGACCGUGGACCAGCCUAUUAGAGGGGCAUGGUAACCUCGUUAUAUUCUUACCUCGGUCGAAGAGGCAUGUAGGGUAACUCCCGAGGUACAACUUUAGAGUUCACUUCACGCCAAACCACCACGUGAGGGUGGACUCAGCCAACGCCAAGGAACGACUUGUUUUCAAAAUAAAAACAUGAUUUAUGCGUACAUGACUUUUUAACAGCCUUGGCGGACUCAGUUUGGAUAGCCCCAGACCAAGGUAUCCCUGAUAACUGAGUAUGAGAAUGAUUUUGGCACGAGCCAGAGUUUUAAGAAAUUCAUAAGCCAUGUUGAUUACUCGAUUUAUAUGAAUUGAUUUUAUUUGGUUGAAAUGAGUUGAAAGGUGAUAAAUUACAGUAUGAUGAUCUAUUUUAAUCUGUCUCCAUUUACUCAGCUUUAGAUAUUUUAGAUGGUAUUUGUUUACUCACUGAGAUUAUAUAAUCUCACCACCCUCCUUUCCACCCAUUUCAGGCUCAGGAUAGUCGGUAGAUAGCUCACUUGUUGAGGGCUACAGUUGGACUUGCAUCCUCAAAAAACUAUAAGUUUACCCCUAUUGAUACUUUUGGUCGUUCGUGGGCCCACAUGUCACUGUAAAUUAAAUUUUAUACUUUGAUUAUUUGUAUUACAGUAUGUAUGAAUUUAUUUAGCUUUUACGCUACAAAAAUAUUUACCAAGAACUCUAUAAAUAUUGUUUUAUAAGAAAAUAGAAUAUUUUAUUGAAUAUUUUUAGUAUAUUCAAAUAGUUAUAGUUUCGCUUUAAAUGAAUGUUUUAGACAUCUAAACUUAUUUUGAUUAUGAAAUAUGUGUUUUCCACUCACAUACUACAUUUUUAGCUGGUUUCGAGAUUUUUGAGGAAAAAUGACCAAAAUGCCCUUGUGAGAAAAAAUUUAUUUAUCUAUUAUUUUGAUUUGAAAAUAGUUUAUAGUCUCUUAAAACAUGAUACUUAACAACUGUUGCUCACAAGGGAGGUGCAAAAAUGAUAUUAAAGCCUUGCGAGGUUCCGGUUGGCAUUCCAGACAAUGAAUGUCUAUCGGGACGUCGCAGCGGUUGUCACAAGCUCGAGGGGAGCACCGGGUUGUGACAAUUAGAGUGGUAUCAGAACUUUUAAGUUUAAAGUUGUUUUAAAGUUAUUUUAAAAACUACAGUGUCAGUGUGGCCCAAGUUAAGUUAAGUUAAGUUAUGUUUGAUAUAAUAGAAUACGUGGAUCUGCAUAUAAAAUUUGGAAUUGUUUAGACUCUUUCUGUUUCUUCUUAUAGAUCUUAUGGGAGCAUAAGUCAUAGAUAGGGAGCUAUAUGAACUCCUGUUCCUAGUAAUCCACUUCCUUGUUAAUGUCAUGCAAAGGUCAUAAGUAGGGCCAUUGUCAGGGUUUAAGAUGCCACCCGUGACACGAGCUAGUGUUAGAGAGAUUUUAAAACGAAUGCUCCUAAUGAAAGAUUAAUGAAAUGAUAUAUCCUUCUAAUUAAGGAUGAAAAAAUUUGGAGUUAGAUUAAUAGGCCGUGAUAAUUUAUUCAUUUUGUGGAGUUAUAAUUGAACUCAUGGUUGUCAAUUGAAAAAAGAUUUGGGGACUAUGGAUUGUAUUGGGGUUAAUAUAAAGGAGCAUGUGUGAUAAUGGUAAUAAGGGGUGCACUUUGAUUAGAAUGAAUAGUGAUGGUUGUAAUUCACUUGGAGUGUAUAAAUUAAGCAUUGAGGUAAGAGUAAACCCAUACUUAUGUGCAUAAAGAUAAGAACACUAUGUUAAUUGAGCUUGUUAUGCCCAUAUAAAAGUGGUGUUGGGAUUUUGAAAUAUUUUAUAUGUGAAUAUGUGUUGAAUAGGUACAGCAGCUUAGAGGGAACUGGUGUUGAUUUCAAUUAAGCAAUUGUGAGAUUUCAAGAAUUGAUUGGACCUAUUAUAGUUCAUGGAUAUAAGCACGUGAAUUAACUCGAGAGUGAGUAUCAAUGAUUACUAUAAUUGAUGUGUGGUCAUGAAGUAAGAAGUUAGUAAACAAAUCUGCUCUAAGGAUGAGCUUGAACUUUGCUAUGCAUAGCAGGGGGAGCCAAGGGAUUAAAGGACUAGAUGUGGAAUUGGCAGCUUGAGGUUAAAUGACUUGGAAAUGUCGAAUCUAGUCUAAGUGCCAUAUGAAGUUCUAUAAUUGAGAUUGAUAUACGAAUUACUUGAAAGAUCAAUUUAAAAGUUUAUUCGGUUCAAAGUGUGGCCUAUGAUACGAAUGAUCAGUCUUGAAGGUGAUCUCCCCAGAGUAAGGAAUUUAGAAAAUGUUGAUGUUUGGAUAUACUCUAAGAGAGAGAACUUCUGCAUCCUAAGUUUAGGACAACUUUGAUCUUAUGAUCGCAAAGGCAAGGUGUAAUAACUAAGUAAAUUAUUCACUUAAUAAAUGUGAUUGGUUAUUGAUGAAUAAAGUCAAGAUCUUAACAUUUAGUGGUAUACAAUUUGAUAAUUAUGUAUUUAAGAGUUAUUUGGAGACAAUUCCUUCAUCAAAUUUGCACUAAAUGCUAUGGUAAAGGCAUAUCAAUGUUAAUAUGGAAAUGUAUCCAGGAAUGAUCUUAACAUACCACCAAAGGAGAAUUAAACAUGUUGAAAUUAAUGUUCUAAUAGUGUGCAUAUGAUCGAAAGCUAGUUUGUAAGUUGUAGUUUUCAUGAUCAUGAAAUAUAUAAAGAUUAUCAAUAUAUGGACAUACACUUGGAGUUGUAAUUUACAAGUUUGGAGUAUUUAAGAUAUGAUUAAAUGGAAUUAGCAUUAGUUAAGGUACGUAAAUCUUUUAAUUAAUUUCUGUGGAGUAUGCAUGAUAGUAUAAUGGAGGAACAUAAUGCCGUCAUACUAUAUGGUGAAGUUACUAUACAAUAUGGAAAGAGCAUUCUAAAAUAGGAUUUAUUGAUUGUUGACAAGUGUUAUAGAAUGAGAUGAAUUUGAAAAUAUCGACUUUACCUAUUAUAUGUGAUAAGCACAAGAGGAUAUAAAUGGUUAUGAAAAUUGUGACGUAAGCUUGGAGGGAAACCAAACGGUUGAGAAUGAUUAGUGUAGUAACCUUAAAUAUAGAUGAAUAACAUUGAUUAAGUAAACUCCAACAGUCACCGUGUCGCGGUGCUAAGAACACUUCAUGUCUAGGACACAUGAAUAAAAUGAGACAGAUGUAAAGUUGAACUUAUGAGUUGACCUAAAGUCAUUGAACUUGAUUCUAAGUUUUGUUAACUGGAGUUUUAAGGUUUUGGAAGGUAUCGAUAUGAAUGAGUUAAAGCUGAAAUGGUUAAAGGCGUUCCCUUCUAGGGGGGGGAGCAAAAGGUUUGGGGUUCGAAACUUGGCGAGAAGGUCCUGCAAGGCCUGUCGUGCCGCCCUUAAGAGCGGGGUUCCGAGUAAGUCAAGUGAUGGGGAUCCAGACAUAACAAUACCUUGGAGUUGGCCCCGAAGGGGAUGCCACAUAAAUGACUAAGUUGCGGGUUAAGUGAUCACAUGUUAUGAGACAUAAGUUUAAGAUAGAUAUCCCCAAGGAAAUACUCAAGAGAAGUUCUACCAUGGAUCUAGUGAAAGCAAGCACUAAGUUAUGUGGUUAUAAAAAAGAAGCCAUAAGCUGAGAGUGAUACUUGUAUUGACAGUGAAAAGUACUUAAGGAGGACAUAGUUUCAAGUUUUACAAUUUCAAGUACAAUCUGUAAAUUGGCUAAGGGAGAAUGAUGUUAUGUUCAUAUGAAAGAGUAGAACAAAAGAUGAUUAAAGUUAACCUUGAUAAUGAAGUCAGAUAAUGAAAACUUUUCUAAUAUUAUGAAAAAUUGGAAUUCGAAAAUGCUUGAGGCAUACAUGAUUCAAAUGAGUCUAAGUCUUAAGUGACAAAUUAAUAUCGGAAUGCAAUAAGGAUACAAUAUAUGUAAGAGGCAUGAAAGAUAAUCAAGGAAUAAGGAUGACUCUUAGGAAUAAUGGUAUUGCAUAACAUGCAAUGAUCAAGUCAAGGAAAAUUUUUGAAGUAUUAAUGGGAUUAUAAAGCAUACAUGCAUAAUAGAUUAUAAUUCAAUAGAGAUGACAUUGUGAUGCAAUGAUAUAUAGUACAAGGAAACUUAAGCAUAUAAUUGAAAAUGAUAAAAAGAGUAUAAGUAUGUAAAUGAUGUGGAACUAUACACAGGCAUGAUGAGAAUUUGUAUGAAUUAUGAAGAUUAUUCUAUCGAAUCUUGGUUAUGGAUAGGAAUGAACAAAAAGAAAUUAGUCUGAAGUCAUUUGAAAACAGAAACCCGUAUACAUAAUGAGGAAUAUGGACAUUUGAAUGUGCGUGUAUAUGUAUGUGUGGAGUUAGUGAUGUACCCAACUAAAAUGAAGAAUGGUUUUAGUGGUUCGAGAUUUGAACUCAAUAUAUUUGAUGAGUUGUAUAGAUAAUUUAACGAUCAAGAAUAUUAUCAAAAGUCGAUUUAUGGCGACCUAAGGAAUUUUGGGAAAAUAGUUAAUGGAAUGUAAUCUAUAGUGCGAUUAAGCCAUAUGAGAUGGACUAAUAGGAUUAAGAAGAUUGAAAUUUCCUAAAUGCAAGGUAAACAUGAAGUAUGAGGAAAGAUUGAAGCCAUUAAUCUUUCCUAACAUUGAGGAUAUAUACAGGAAUAAGUAUGGCAUGUUAAUGAUACUGUAAACUACACAAUAUUGUAUGAAGAUAAGAUGAAUGAAUGAAAGUCAAGAAAUUUGAUAUGGAAUGAAGUAAUAAGAUAGAGAUUGAUAUACCUAAAUAAGUAUAAAAUGCGAUCAAAAUUGGUAUGAUUGAGAUGGAGUUACGGUUCAAGUAUAAUAAUAGUAAUAGAAGCAUGUUUGGUGUCUCGAUAUAAGAGAUCAUAAUUAUAAAGGUUACUGUUGAUCUAAUUUUAAAGGAUAAUAAUAGACAUAAAUGAAGUAUUCGAGUUGAAUUGGAGGUAAAUGAGGUGAACAAAUCGAAAUUCCCUAUAAAGGGGAGGACAUAAGAAGUCAAGCAUUAUAUGAGAAAACAAUAUCCUCACCUUUUCUCUUAGUUCAGUAAAUAAAAUUUUGAGGUCAAAAUUUUAUUUUAAGGGGGAUAGUGCUGUCAAGCUCAGCUCUACAAUAUGUUUAUUAUGUCAUUUCUACAUAAGAAUGCAUGUUUGCUUACUUAGGUACCUCAAAAAUCGUUAAAGGACGACAAUAUACCAAAUGGUACAAUUAAGUUGAAUUAAGCCUCGAACUAGUCCAAAUAGAGAUUUUAAAAUGAAAUUGAGAAUUUUAAAACCCCAGAAUAACUUAAAAUGGUGAUUCAGAGUUCGAGGACUGAUUUGGAGUCAUUGAAAUUUACAUGACCCAAAGGUAAAAUGGUCAUUUUGCUACCCGAGGUUAAGAUGUGAGUGUUGGAUGAAAUUUUUGACUAAGAUUGAUCAUUUGGAGUAUAAUUUGAGUUUGAGAAGUGAAAAAUUUUAAUUUUGACAUUUUUUCGAGCAUAGGGGUAAAAUAGUCAUUUUGCCACCCCAAGGGUAAACUUGUAAUUUUACACCACCCAACACUUGUCCAGCACAUGGAUUUUACUCAAUAUUAUCAUGGAUAAUUGCGAAAAUUUAAGUGGUGGAGAGAGAUUGCUUAAUGGGUAAGUAUGACACAUGGACUAAUGGAAUGGUGACAUGUGUCAAAUUUUCAUCCAUUUAUUAUUUAGCUUAAAAAUCAGCGCAAAAUCAACCCAUUUCUCUUCAUAUGGCCGACUUAAGCAAGAACAAAGGAAGAAAAGAAAGAACAAGAACCCUAGGGUGAAAAUUCAAGAGAAAAUUGGUGGAUUUCAAGUAAUCAAACAAUUAAAGGUAAAAUUUCUUGAUUUUGACUUGUGAUCUACCUUUCCCAUGCAUUCUUUUGCAUUUUCCAUUGUUGAAUCACAUGAUUUUAUGAUGGGUAUCUUGUUGGCUGAACACUUAGAGAGAGGUUUUGAUGCUUGAUUUGGUUAGAUUUCAAUGUAUUUUAGUGUUUUUAGUUGAUUGGUGAUGUGUAGCAUGAAAAUCAAGCAAGAAAAAUUCAUGUUCUUCCAUCACCCAUCAUUGGCCGAAUUCUCCAUGUAGAAUAUUGAUGAUGAUUUUGAUUUUAUUUCAAGUGAUUUGGUUAGGAAUUAGUGAUUUAUGGUGUGAGAAUCAAGCUUAAAAAAUUAUAGUGUUGAUGCACCCACCAUGGUCAAAUUUUCCAAGAGAAAAUGUGAGGAUGAUUUUGCCAUAUUUCAAGUUAUUUAAUUUGUGUUUGAUGAUUUCGAGUAUUGGGAGAAAAAUGAAAUUAUUUGGAGUUAAAUUGGACGUAUUGGCUAAUUAAUCAGGUGAUAGAUCGAAUUAAGUCAAUACCGUUUUAUUUAGGUACAUAAUUGAAUUUAUAUUGAACACCGUAUUUAGAUAGUUACCCGAGCAUUUCACAUCCCAUUUCAUGCAUUAGUAUAGAGCCUGAAUUGGUUUUAUAACAAUUUAGCACAAAUGUAGUAAAUGGUUUAUUGUGCAUUAUGUCUAGGUGGUGAGCAUUCUGGCAAAAGUGAAGAGAUAGUACUCGAGGAUCAAGAAUCGGAGUGCUCGAAAUUCGACUCUCCGAAAUAGUGAGUAACCUUAUUAUCAUCUUAAUUAUCUAAAGUGGUUUUUAUCCGAUUUUAUGACUUUAUGGAAAAUGAGUUAAAUGGUAAAUCUUUGUGUUUUGUAAUUAAAAUGUGAUUUAAUGAAAUUAUUUUAUAACAUUGUUUUGAAAUGAAAUGAUGGUUUGAAAAUAGAGUAAUUGGAGAUUGCUUUCAUGUGUUGUAAAUUCAUGGUUUGAAUCGAAUGGCUCAUGACAAUAUUUGCAUGAAUGGCUAAAUUGGUAUUUGUGUUGAAAUAUAUGAACUAUGUAUUUAGCCUUGAGAGGCUGGAUUGUGACAUAAUUGCCAUGUCAUGCAGUUGAGAUUUUAUUGAAUUGGUGGGUUUAGCUUGCUGCAAUGGGCGGGUUCCGUGGACCAGCCUAUUAGAAAGGCACGGUAACCCCGUUAUAUUCUUACCUCGGUCGGAGAGGCGUGUAGGGUAACUCCCGAGGUACAACUUUAGAGUUCACUUCACGCCAAACCACCACGUGAAGGUGGACUCAGCCAACGCUAAGGAGCAACUAUGUUUUCAAAAUAAAAACAUGAUUUAUGCGUACAUGACUUUUUAACAGCCUUGGCGAACUCAGUUGGGAUAGCUCCAGGCCAAGGUAUCCCUAAUAACUGAGUAUGAGAAUGAUUUUGGCACGAGCCAAAGUUUUAAAAAAUUCAAAAGCCAUGUUGAUUACUCGAUUUAUAUGAAUUGAUUUUAUUUGGUUGAAAUGAGUUGAAAGGUGAUGAAUUACAGUAUGAUGAUCUAUUUUAAUCUGUCUCAAUUUACUCAGCUUUAGAUAUUUUCUAUGGUAUUUGUUUACUCACUGAGAUUAUAUAAUCUCACCACCCUCCUUUCCACCCAUUUCAGGCUCAAGAUAGUCGGUAGAUAGCCCACUUUAUUAAGGGCUACAAUUGGACUUGCAUCCUCAAAAAAAUUAUAGGUUUACCGCUAUUGAUAUUUUUGGUCGUUCGUGGGCUCACGUGUCAUUGUAAAUUAAAUUUUAUACUUUGGUUAUCUGUAUUACAGUAUGUAUAAAUUUAUUUAGCUUUUACACUACAAAAAUUAUUUACUGAAAACUUUAUAAAUAUUGUUUUAUAAGAAAAUAGAAU